CACAGCUUGGCUGUUGGGGUUUUAGGACACUCUAUACGGAGUUACAAAGGACGACAUUAGACGAAUCAUCUGGAAAGAUGAAUCAAAGAAGGUAAUAAUCCUGUAGUCGAAAAUGUUGUCUCUCUUGAGUGGAUCCUGAGUACGACGGAGCACGUGAAAUUCCGUCGGAAUCUGGGAGGACCAUCUCCUAAGGCUAAAUACUCUCUAGUGACCGAUAGUGAACCAGUACCGUGAGGGAAAGGUGAAAAGCACCCCGGAAGGGGAGUGAAAUAGAACCUGAAACCGUGUGCUUACAAGUAGUCAGAGCCCGUUAAUGGGUGAUGGCGUGCCUUUUGUAGAAUGAACCGGCGAGUUACGAUUUGAUGCAAGGUUAAGCAGUAAAUGUGGAGCCGUAGCGAAAGCGAGUCUGAAUAGGGCGUUUAGUAUUUGGUCGUAGACCCGAAACCAGGUGAUCUACCCUUGGUCAGGUUGAAGUUCAGGUAACACUGAAUGGAGGACCGAACCGACUUACGUUGAAAAGUGAGCGGAUGAACUGAGGGUAGCGGAGAAAUUCCAAUCGAACCUGGAGAUAGCUGGUUCUCUCCGAAAUAGCUUUAGGGCUAGCCUCAAGUGAUGAUUAUUGGAGGUAGAGCACUGUUUGGACGAGGGGCCCCUCUCGGGUUACCGAAUUCAGACAAACUCCGAAUGCCAAUUAAUUUAACUUGGGAGUCAGAACAUGGGUGAUAAGGUCCGUGUUCGAAAGGGAAACAGCCCAGACCACCAGCUAAGGUCCCAAAAUAUAUGUUAAGUGGAAAAGGAUGUGGCGUUGCCCAGACAACUAGGAUGUUGGCUUAGAAGCAGCCAUCAUUUAAAGAGUGCGUAAUAGCUCACUAGUCGAGUGACACUGCGCCGAAAAUGUACCGGGGCUAAACAUAUUACCGAAGCUGUGGAUUGUCCUUUGGACAAUGGUAGGAGAGCGUUCUAAGGGCGUUGAAGCAUGAUCGUAAGGACAUGUGGAGCGCUUAGAAGUGAGAAUGCCGGUGUGAGUAGCGAAAGACGGGUGAGAAUCCCGUCCACCGAUUGACUAAGGUUUCCAGAGGAAGGCUCGUCCGCUCUGGGUUAGUCGGGUCCUAAGCUGAGGCCGACAGGCGUAGGCGAUGGAUAACAGGUUGAUAUUCCUGUACCACCUAUAAUCGUUUUAAUCGAUGGGGGGACGCAGUAGGAUAGGCGAAGCGUGCGAUUGGAUUGCACGUCUAAGCAGUAAGGCUGAGUAUUAGGCAAAUCCGGUACUCGUUAAGGCUGAGCUGUGAUGGGGAGAAGACAUUGUGUCUUCGAGUCGUUGAUUUCACACUGCCGAGAAAAGCCUCUAGAUAGAAAAUAGGUGCCCGUACCGCAAACCGACACAGGUAGUCAAGAUGAGAAUUCUAAGGUGAGCGAGCGAACUCUCGUUAAGGAACUCGGCAAAAUGACCCCGUAACUUCGGGAGAAGGGGUGCUCUUUAGGGUUAACGCCCAGAAGAGCCGCAGUGAAUAGGCCCAAGCGACUGUUUAUCAAAAACACAGGUCUCUGCUAAACCGUAAGGUGAUGUAUAGGGGCUGACGCCUGCCCGGUGCUGGAAGGUUAAGAGGAGUGGUUAGCUUCUGCGAAGCUACGAAUCGAAGCCCCAGUAAACGGCGGCCGUAACUAUAACGGUCCUAAGGUAGCGAAAUUCCUUGUCGGGUAAGUUCCGACCCGCACGAAAGGCGUAACGAUUUGGGCACUGUCUCAACGAGAGACUCGGUGAAAUCAUAGUACCUGUGAAGAUGCAGGUUACCCGCGACAGGACGGAAAGACCCCGUGGAGCUUUACUGUAGCCUGAUAUUGAAAUUCGGCACAGCUUGUACAGGAUAGGUAGGAGCCUUUGAAACGUGAGCGCUAGCUUACGUGGAGGCGCUGGUGGGAUACUACCCUAGCUGUGUUGGCUUUCUAACCCGCACCACUUAUCGUGGUGGGAGACAGUGUCAGGCGGGCAGUUUGACUGGGGCGGUCGCCUCCUAAAAGGUAACGGAGGCGCUCAAAGGUUCCCUCAGAAUGGUUGGAAAUCAUUCAUAGAGUGUAAAGGCAUAAGGGAGCUUGACUGCGAGACCUACAAGUCGAGCAGGGUCGAAAGACGGACUUAGUGAUCCGGUGGUUCCGCAUGGAAGGGCCAUCGCUCAACGGAUAAAAGCUACCCCGGGGAUAACAGGCUUAUCUCCCCCAAGAGUUCACAUCGACGGGGAGGUUUGGCACCUCGAUGUCGGCUCAUCGCAUCCUGGGGCUGUAGUCGGUCCCAAGGGUUGGGCUGUUCGCCCAUUAAAGCGGUACGCGAGCUGGGUUCAGAACGUCGUGAGACAGUUCGGUCCCUAUCCGUCGUGGGCGUAGGAAAUUUGAGAGGAGCUGUCCUUAGUACGAGAGGACCGGGAUGGACAUACCUCUGGUGUACCAGUUGUCGUGCCAACGGCAUAGCUGGGUAGCUAUGUGUGGACGGGAUAAGUGCUGAAAGCAUCUAAGCAUGAAGCCCCCCUCAAGAUGAGAUUUCCCAACUUCGGUUAUAAGAUCCCUCAAAGAUGAUGAGGUUAAUAGGUUCGAGGUGGAAGCAUGGUGACAUGUGGAGCUGACGAAUACUAAUCGAUCGAAGACUUAAUCAA
rnacentral:rRNA from 1 species